AUUGCAAUCCAUUAACUCAAUAAUACUGGGAAUGAAACACCGAUAGACUCAAAAAAGAGUGGCUGAAAAAUUUGUGACAGCAAAAACAGAAGAAAAAGCAAAAGAAUUGGAACUGAAAAGAGGAGCUGAAGCCCUGGGAGCAGCACUCUGUUGUGAUCACCAUUCCUCGUUUUGACUACAAUGCCUCUUCUUCUCUCCUCAGUCAUUCCCACUCCGGAUUCCUCAUCACCUGCCCCAUCAAGAGGGAGAAGAGUGCAACAAAAGAAGCCAUGUCAAUUUUUGAAAAGUAUGUCAGAUCUUUGAGUAUUCUAAAUGCUGAAGGUUCUGAAAGGUUGGAUGAGAAUAUGUCAGCUAAGAAGACGAGAAUAUCUGUAAGUACAGAGGAGGAACUUGGCAACAGUUUGCAGAGGAAAGAUGCGGCCGAUGACUUUGGAGAACCUGGUAAUAGUUUAAGUCUGGUAUUUUAGUUUAUACACAUGCUCGUACAGAUAAAUUAACAUGUAUGACGACCUGCAAAUCUACAAAAAAAAUGAAGAGGGUGGGGAUUUGUCUGUAAGAACAGGUAAUACGACUUGUAUGCAUGAAAAAAUAAGAACAAGUUUAUUAAAACAA